CAACUUGAUGUGAAAAACUCUGUUUCCAGCCCCUACGUGUGCCAAGUCUCCAUGCGCACAUGGCACCUGUACUGAUGAUGUCGGGAGCUACACCUGUAGCUGUGAGAACGGCUGGACAGGACAGGACUGCGAUCAAGAGCAGUCGCUGCUGGCCCGGGCCGCAUACUGGCCACUGAUGAGAAGGCCAGGGAGCUGGACAAAUUGGAGGUGAACCAAGUGAUGACGCAUAAGGAAUAGAGAAAAAGACCUCUGCGUGGACCAUGAGAUCAGUCACGUCAUCAUCAAUUAUAAUAAGGAUAAAUAAGAGAUAGUGUCUGUUUUCUGUAAUUAAGGGAUAGUGUCUGUUUUUCUGUAAUUAAGGGAUAGUGUCUGUUCUUCUGUAAUUAAGGGAUAGUGUCUGUUUUCUGUAAUUAAGGGAUAGUGUCUGUUUUUCUGUAAUUAAGGGAUAGUGUCUGUUCUUCUGUAAUUAAGGGAUAGUGUCUGUUUUUCUGUAAUUAAGGGAUAGUGUCUGUUCUUCUGUAAUUAAGGGAUAGUGUCUGUUUUUCUGUAAUUAAGGGAUAGUGUCUGUUCUUCUGUAAUUAAGGGAUAGUGUCUGUUUUUCUGUAAUUAAGGGAUAGUGUCUGUUCUUCUGUAAUUAAGGGAUAGUGUCUGUUUUUCUG